rnacentral:lncRNA from 1 species
GGCUGGAUACAGUACACUUUAUUGAUGGCACAUGGUAAGGUAGGGCUCCUCAAGGCCCUUCCCUUGUUCAAGGGUCUCUGGGAUGGAAACUGGAGGUCAGGAGAAUGUAUUGGGGAAUGAGUUGGGGCAAGGAGUCCCCAGCAGAUAAAGGCCUCUCUCUUCCUCUUGCUCUUGCUGGGGCUGGUGGACCAGGGGGCUCUUACUCCUUGGAAGCCAUGUGGACCAUAAAGUCCACCACCUGGUUGCUGUAGCCAAAUUCAUUGUCAUACCAGGAAAUGAGCUUGAUGAAGUGGUCAUUGAGAGCAAUGCUAGCCCAUGUUGAAGGUGGAAGAGUGGGGGUGUCACAUAGCCCAAGAUGCCCUUGAGGGGACCCUAUGAUGCCUGCUUCACUACCUUCUUGAUGUCAUCAUAUUUGGCAGCUUUCUCCAGGCAGCAGGU